AUGGAGUUCAUCCCCGACAGCUGCUGGAACGCCGGGAUGCCCAGCGCGCCGAUGAUGAGCUGCGGCCGGUUCCGCACGGCCAGCAGGUUCCGGAACGUGCCGCGCACCGCCCGCGCCGCCUCGCUCGCCACCUUGAGGUCCUCGAACUCGGCGUCCACCUUGUGCGUCCCGCGCACCUUCUCCAGCACGCGCCGGGCCUCCUCCAGCCGCCCGCGCUCCACCAGGCUGUUGGGCGUCUCCGGCAGGAACAGCGCGCCGACGAAGAUGGCGGUGGCGGGCACCACGGCGAGGCCCAGCGAGAGGCGCCACCCCCACGGGUGGAUCCGGUCGGUGAAGUAG
rnacentral:rRNA from 1 species